UUCUAUAGCCAUACCAUCUUGUCCACACCCAAUUUUGUCUGAUCUUGGAAGUGAAGCAAGAUUGGGCCUGAUUAGAACUUGUAUGGGAGAUCCCAUGGAAAUAUGGAGUAAUAUAGG
rnacentral:rRNA from 1 species